GAUGAACGCUAGCUACAGGCUUAACACAUGCAAGUCGAGGGGUAACAAGAGGAAAGCUUGCUUUUCUUGUUGACGACCGGCGCACGGGUGAGUAACGCGUAUCCAACCUGCCUAUAACUAGGGAAUAACCUUGCGAAAGUAAGACUAAUACCCUAUGAUUUCCUUUGAUGACAUCAGAUUAGGAAUAAAGAUUUAUCGGUUAUAGAUGGGGAUGCGUCUGAUUAGCUUGUUGGCGGGGUAACGGCCCACCAAGGCAACGAUCAGUAGGGGUUCUGAGAGGAAGGUCCCCCACAUUGGAACUGAGGCACGGUCCAAACUCCUACGGGAGGCAGCAGUGAGGAAUAUUGGUCAAUGGGCGGAAGCCUGAACCAGCCAUGUAGCGUGCAGGAUGACGGCCCUAUGGGUUGUAAACUGCUUUUAUACAGGAAUAAAGUUAGCCACGUGUGGUUAUUUGUAGGUACUGUAUGAAUAAGGACCGGCUAAUUCCGUGCCAGCCGCCGCAGUAA
rnacentral:rRNA from 1 species